rnacentral:rRNA from 1 species
GAUGAACGCUAGCUACAGGCUUAACACAUGCAAGUCGAGGGGCAGCGCAGUGUAGCAAUACAUGGGCGGCGACCGGCGCACGGGUGCGUAACGCGUAUCCAACCUUCCCGUUACUCAGGGAUAGCCUUCCGAAAGGGAGAUUAAUACCUGAUGGUGUUCAAAUUCCGCAUGUUAUUUGAACUAAAGAUUUAUCGGUAACGGAUGGGGAUGCGUGACAUUAGAUAGUAGGCGGGGUAACGGCCCACCUAGUCUACGAUGUCUAGGGGUUCUGAGAGGAAGGUCCCCCANACUGGAACUGAGACACGGUCCAGACUCCUACGGGAGGCAGCAGUGAGGAAUAUUGGUCAAUGGUCGGAAGACUGAACCAGCCAAGUAGCGUGAAGGAUGAAGGUUCUAUGGAUUGAAACUUCUUUAUACGGGAAUAAAACCUCCACGUGUGGGAGCUUGUAUGUACCGUAUGAAUAAGCAUCGGCUAAACUCCGUG